rnacentral:rRNA from 1 species
GAUGAACGCUGACAGAGUGCUUAACGCAUGCAAGUCUUUGGCGAAGCUGUGCUUGCACAGCCUAGCCAAGGCGGACGGGUGAGUAACGCGUAAGGAACUUGCCCUGCAGUCAGGGAUAACAGACGGAAACGACUGAUAAGACCUGGUAAAGUCAGGCGGACUCAUGUCCAGCCUGAUGAAAAGAGAUGCUGCAGGAGAGCCUUGCGUCCUAUUAGCUUGUUGGUGGGGUAACGGCCCACCAAGGCGAUGAUAGGUAGCCGGCCUGAGAGGGUGGACGGCCACAAGGGGACUGAGAUACGGCCCUUACUCCUACGGGAGGCAGCAGUGGGGAAUAUUGGACAAUGGGGGCAACCCUGAUCCAGCAAUUCUGUGUGCACGAUGAAGGUUUUCGGAUUGUAAAGUGCUUUCAGCAGGGAAGAAAAAAAUGACGGUACCUGCAGAAGAAGCGACGGCUAAAUACGUG